rnacentral:lncRNA from 1 species
ACUUGUUACAAUGCUUUUUAUUUAAUGCAAAUACAAGCGAUCAAUUGGUUCGUGAAUCUCCCAAGUCUGUCCUUAAAAACAGCAAAUCAGAAAAAGGGUGGAAAGCGUAAUUUGAAUUUUCUUGGAAGUGAUUUCUAGUAUUUGCAACUUGACUAUUUGAUUUGAAACUUGAUGUAUUUGAAUUUGUGGACACAGAAGCAUAAAGGCCAUAAAUAGGCUCCCUGGCUUCACAUUCCACAGGUCAGGAACGACCUUCUCCAGCGGACCAGACACAUCUUCCGGAAGCCCUCCUUCUACAGACUGGGCAGGAGGUGGGCACAGCUGUCUCCAAGGCAGCGUGAGACCCACCUGAGCUCCCCUGCUCCCGCUCGUGCCACCUGAGCCACGUGGCCCCCCCAGAUCUGGCAGCGAGUGUUCCUCUGAGGAGAACCCCACCGAGGGUAGAAUUUCCAUUCUCAGUUCCAAUCACAGUGAUAAUGUCAGCACUUGCUUUCUGAGGCAGAUGUUCCACCCAGAACUGGCAGCAUCACAUGCGCGACAAUCACAGCACACCGCAGGGAAGGGAUCUAGAUGUGGCCGCGCUCUUUGGGUGGGUGGCACAGAUGGUCAGGCCACCCUCCCAUGAUAGGUCUCAUUUGCCCCAGUGAGGAACAGAUUUAACGAAGGGCAGCCUUUGCGAAGGAUAGUGGACAAGGCUUCGUAUUUUUAAAUGUAGUGGAAGCUUAAGAAAACCCCAAUGCUCCUGGUCAGUUUGUUUUUUCUGGGCUAAGGGUCUACACAGCUAGGAGAGCACACGCUUCGUGACCGAGAACUGACUUUCCUAAAUGAAGAUUACCAGCAGUCCUGGGACCAGUCAGCUAACUGUAUGCUUACUAUUGCAGGAGCAAUGACGGGGGCCACUAAAAACUGCCCCUGGAAAGAGGUUUAAAUUUUCCAUUCACAAAGCAAAUCAAGCUUCCUAAUUAGCUACAACACAGCCGGAAAGCUCAGCGCCUACUGUCCUGCCAAAGCCCUGCCUCCACUGCCCUGCACGAUGCGCACAUCUCCGCUGCAGGAACUGCGUGUCGGUUUUCUCCAGUUCACUCGUGUUCAAAGAACUCGUGGCAGGCAGUGGUAACCAUGGCGACAAAAGCCAUGAAUUCCUGGAAGUCACACUCGCCAUCUCCAUCGCUGUCCAGUGUCUCCAUGACUUUGUCCACGACCUCCUGCUCUUUGAUUUCCUGAGAGAUAAGAGAAGCUGUUGAGCUUGUUUCUAAAUGAAAUUUGGGGCCAUCAAAUGUGAUGAGAAGGUGUCUGGCCUUAAUAAUGUGUCUCAGAAACAACCUAAGAAUGCUAUGGAAAGACCAAAGACCAGAAAAGACUCUUGUGAUCAGGAGGCUGUUGGCUGGGAGACGUGUCUAGGGGUCUGAGCCUUCUCUUCCACUUUCCUGUAGGCCUGGAGGGACCUGGGCUACUUCCAAAAACUGAGUGGACUAGACAGGAUCUGAAAAACGGCAGGUCGUUUGUGUUAAAACGCCCAAAACAGUCUAGAUCAGCCUGAGCACAUUAUAUGCAAAUGUUUUGAAAACAAUAAUGAACUGUUGGCCCCUGUACGUUCUCAUUGUUUGUGGACAGGGCAACUAAGCCUACUCGGGACUGACCGCGUCGUGAAGGCUUCCCGUGGACUUCCGAGUUUUGAAAGUGGUUUUUGGCUGAAAUGACUCGGGAACACGCCCUAACGGUAUUAACCUCGCAAGGGGUUUUGCCACUUGAGUUGCUUUCAGGUGUUUGGGGACGUUUCCCAACCUUCUGCCCCACGCGGAGCCGGGUGGUGAAACAGCCUCAGAGGGACGGACACGGGGCAGGAAGGCUGUACCCUGCACACUGAGGAGGAGCAUAAAGGCCUGCUGGUUCUGAAUCACCAGCCCAGGCAGCAGAGCCUGUGACGCAGAAUGUACAGCGGCUGCCUUGGGGCAAAACAAUGAGAGACCGAGGUUCCUGUGGGGGUUGGGGUGGGACAUCUGCUCAAAGAGGAACUUUAAAUACUUGAUAGAUUUGCCUUCAAACCAGCAGUGCUCAUGACACCUUGAUACACUCACCAGGAAUUACUCAUCUUUUUUUUUUUUUUUUUUUUUUUUCAGGGCCACACCCUCAGCACAUGGAGGUCCCCAGAAAUAGCAAAAAAGACAAAAAAUAAAUAAAUAAAUAAUAAAAAUAAAAGCAAACUCACCUCCAGGAAGUGGGAAAGCUCGCUGUUGAUGAGCUCCUUGAGUUCGGAUUUCUUCAGCUUGUGCUUGUCCCCCUCCCUCCCAGAAUACUGAUGGAAGACGUCAAUCAGGGCCACCACGGCCUUCUCCAGCUCCGACAUCCCGGGUCCUCCUAGGGCAGAGAGGUCCAGGUGUCGCCCGUGCCGCCCUCAGCCCUGGCUCCCUUCCUUUCAGGCUUGGAGUUGUUUGAGUCUCCCGCCCCCUGGGCCCCCUCCCUCUCCCUUCUCCGUCCUCUGUUCUCCUGCCAUUGGGCUGCUGGCUGAAUUCGGCCAAUAGACAUUUCAGGCAAAAUACAGAGGCCGAGCAGUGAAGGGGAGACGCUGUUGGAAUUGGUCUGGAAGAGGUCGUUGAUCUGAACUAUGGAGUCCACAGCGUCCUAAUUCUCACAAUAAAGAUGAGAAAACAGUGGAAAAGUCCUAUUUCCACAGCAACAUACACAUAUUUCCAAGGAUGAGUUUGGCAAGAAAAGUGCAGGACCUUCCAAAAGAUACUAAGAUCACAAAAUGGAGGAACUUACUUUCCUUUGGAUGAAUAUAUAAAUGUGACUCAUUUUUAAAAAAACUUUUUUAAUACAAAUAUUGAUGGCAAUUUUUUUGAUAGGCAAGAAAUCGAUUUAUUAAGACAGGACACUCGGGCGAGAUGCAAGCGGGCCCGCAAGCAGUCUCUGCCGAUGGCAUUUUUUUGAUGGGUGAAGAACACGACCAAAAAACAGCUGUAAAAUUCAACUGGAAAAGUAAAUAUGGUGGCAUUGCCACAGAAUUUUCUGAAAAGGAUCAAGGAAAGUUACUUGACCUUCCAAAAACAAACCUGUAUUGCCGGCUGUCUGAUGAAAACAGGGCUGUGCAGUGAAGCUUGCCUCCCCAAAAUGUCUCUUUGGUACAGGAUUAUUUUGAGCCGAAAACAAACAAACCCAGAAGACUCAGGAAGAAGCUCUGGCAUCCGCCGUAGCUGCCUGAAUCAGAAUCUAGAUGGAGGGCCAGUUUCGGGACGUGCUCACAAGAGAUGCAGCCAAGCAGGCCGCCGGGUGAGGACUCGCAGGCACCUGGCCCCCUCUGGCCCUCCUCUGCGCGGCUGCGCGAACAGUCGCUUUACCAAAACUUUGCUUCUCCAUCGAGGUCAGAACGGCCUUCCUCCCCCGCCUCGUCCAAAGCCACGCUCCCCGGACGCCCUCCUUUGUCCUUAGCUGUUGAUGGUACUUGGGGCGAGGGUUUGGGCCGUUUUGAUGAGUUGCUGGGUUUUCCUGGGUCUUUCCCAGGUAUGCAUGUUACUAAACUUGGUUUGGGUUUUUCCUGCUAACCUGCCUCAUGUCUCUUUGAUUCUUGGGCCCUGGAGGGAGGAAAAUGGCCUCCUCCGACGGCUCUGAGGCCAGCAAGUGGGGCCGGAGGCUGGGCCGCAGCCAGGUGCUUUGUAUUCACGGAGGCGCUGCCUCCAGCGACCAGGAUCGCUGCCGCUCUCUGCGCUCAUCCAGUAGGAAGCUUCUGUCGCCCCUCAUGUCCCUUGCACCAUGGCCUGCGACCUAAGGAAACAGCUGGUACCCUGGGAAUGAGGCAGUGUACAAAGGACCGCUUGUCAACUGUUUCACAAAGCUGAGCCACACAGCCAGAGAAGUUUACCGACGUUUGGCCUUGAGUUC